rnacentral:rRNA from 1 species
UGGGGAAUAUUGCACAAUGGGCGCAAGCCUGAUGCAGCCAUGCCGCGUGUAUGAAGAAGGCCUUCGGGUUGUAAAGUACUUUCAGCGGGGAGGAAGGCGAUAAGGUUAAUAACCUUGUCGAUUGACGUUACCCGCAGAAGAAGCACCGGCUAACUCCGUGCCAGCAGCCGCGGUAAUACGGAGGGUGCAAGCGUUAAUCGGAAUUACUGGGCGUAAAGCGCACGCAGGCGGUCUGUCAAGUCGGAUGUGAAAUCCCCGGGCUCAACCUGGGAACUGCAUUCGAAACUGGCAGGCUAGAGUCUUGUAGAGGGGGGUAGAAUUCCAGGUGUAGCGGUGAAAUGCGUAGAGAUCUGGAGGAAUACCGGUGGCGAAGGCGGCCCCCUGGACAAAGACUGACGCUCAGGUGCGAAAGCGUGGGGAGCUAACA